rnacentral:rRNA from 1 species
GAUGCAGCACGCGCGUGGAGGAUGACGCAUUUCGGUGUGUAAACUCCUUUUACCAGAGAAGAAAAUGACGGUAUCUGAUGAAUAAGCUCCGGCUAACUCCGUGCCAGCAGCCGCGGUAAUACGGAGGGAGCAAGCGUUAUUCGGAAUCACUGGGCGUAAAGGACGCGUAGGCGGGUUAUUAAGUCAGGUGUGAAAUCCUACAGCUCAACUGUGGAACUGCACUUGAAACUGGUAACCUAGAGUAUGGAAGGGGCAGGUGGAAUUAGUGGUGUAGGGGUAAAAUCCGUAGAUAUCACUAGGAAUACCGAAAGCGAAGGCGACCUGCUGGGACAUUACUGACGCUGAGGCGUGAAAGCGUGGGGAGCAAACGGGAUUAGAUACCCCGGUAGUCCACGCCCUAAACGAUGAAUGCUAGUCGUCGGGGAGCUAGUCUCUUCGGUGAUGCACUUAACAGAUUAAGCAUUCCGCCUGGGGAGUACGGUCGCAAGAUUAAAACUCAAAGGAAUAGACGGGGACCCGCACAAGUGGUGGAGCAUGUGGUUUAAUUCGAAGAUACACGAAGAACCUUACCUGGCCUUGACAUUGAUAGAACCUGGUAGAGAUACCGGGGUGCCUUUCGGGGAACUUGAAAACAGGUGCUGCACGGCUGUCGUCAGCUCGUGUCGUGAGAUGUUGGGUUAAGUCCCGCAACGAGCGCAACCCUCGUCCUUAGUUGCCAGCAGUUCGGCUGGGCACUCUAAGGAGACUGCCUUCGCAAGGAGGAGGAAGGUGAGGACGACGUCAAGUCAUCAUGGCCCUUACGGCCAGGGCUACACACGUGCUACAAUGGGGUGUACAGAGAGUAGCGAUACCGCGAGGUGGAGCCAAUCUCAUAAAGCAUCUCUCAGUUCGGAUUGGAGUCUGCAACUCGACUCCAUGAAGCUGGAAUCACUAGUAAUCGUAGAUCAGCUAUGCUACGGUGAAUACGUUCCCGGGUCUUGUACUCACCGCCCGUCACACCAUGGGAGUUGAUUUCGCCCGAAGCGGGGAUGCCAAACCGGCUACCCU